rnacentral:rRNA from 1 species
CGAACGCUGGCGGCGCGCCUAAUACAUGCAAGUCGAGCGAGAAGACGUAGCAAUACGUUUGUAAAGCGGCGAACGGGUGAGGAACACAUGGGUAACCUACCCUAGAGUGGGGAAUAACUAGCCGAAAGGUUAGCUAAUACCGCGUACGCUCCUUGGACUUCGGUACAGGGAGGAAAGCGAUACCGUGGGUAUCGCGCUCUUGGAUGGGCUCAUGUCCUAUCAGCUUGUUGGUGAGGUAACGGCUCACCAAGGCUUCGACGGGUAGCUGGUCUGAGAGGACGAUCAGCCACACUGGCACUGCGACACGGGCCAGACUCCUACGGGAGGCAGCAGUAAGGAAUAUUGCGCAAUGGGCGAAAGCCUGACGCAGCGACGCCGCGU